rnacentral:rRNA from 1 species
CCUACGGGCGGCAGCAGUGAGGAAUAUUGGUCAAUGGACGAGAGUCUGAACCAGCCAAGCAGCGUGAAGGAUGACUGCCCUAUGGGUUGUAAACUUCUUUUAUAUGGGAAUAAAAUGUUCCACGUGUCGGAUAGUGUAUGUACCAUAUGAAUAAGGAUCGGCUAACUCCGUGCCAGCAGCCGCGGUAAUACGGAGGAUCCGAGCGUUAUCCGGAUUUGUUGGGUUUAAAGGGAGCGUAGGGGGAUUGUUAAGUCAGUGGUGAAAGUUUGCGGCUCAACCGUAAAAUGGCAGUUGAAACUGGCAGUCUUGAGUACAGUAGAGGUGGGCGGAAUUCGUGGUGUAGCGGUGAAAUGCUUAGAUAUCACGAAGAACUCCGAUUGCGAAGGCAGCUCACUGGACUGCAACUGACACUGAGGCUCGAAAGUGUGGGUAUCAAACAGGAUUAGAUACCCUUGUAGUC